UCGACUGCACGAAGCUGGAAUCGCUAGUAAAUCGCGGAUCAGCACGCCGCGGUGAAUACGUUCCCGGGCCUUGUACACACCGCCCGUCACACCAUGGAAGUCUGCAAUGCCCGAAGCCGGUGGCCUAACCACUUAUGUGGAAGGAGCCGUCUAAGGCAGGGCAGAUGACUGGGGUGAAGUCGUAACAAGGUAUC
rnacentral:rRNA from 1 species